rnacentral:other from 1 species
AGAUACCUAAAGGGUAAAUGUCUAUGUCAAUAUAAAACCGACUAGAUAGAUAAUAAGGGAAUCUAAUUGAAUUAUGGUGUAGAAGACUUAACCAUUAAGUGAGUAAGGAUCCUAAAGUAAUUCAUGUGAUGCCCACCUCGCGAGAGCGGGUUUUUAUCAAUGCAUGGCGCCUUUGGGUUUUCU